GACGAACGCUGGCGGCGUGCUUAACACAUGCAAGUCGAACGGUGAAGGGACCGGUUUUUGCUGGUUCUGGAUGAGUGGCGAACGGGUGAGUAACACGUGAGUAACCUGCCCCCUUCUUCUGGAUAACCGCAUGAAAGUGUGGCUAAUACGGGAUAUUCUGCGCCUGCUGCAUGGUGGGUGUGGGAAAGAUAUUGUUUCGGUGGGGGAUGGGCUCGCGGCCUAUCAGCUUGUUGGUGGGGUGAUGGCCUACCAAGGCGGUGACGGGUAGCCGGCCUGAGAGGGUGGACGGUCACACUGGGACUGAGACACGGCCCAGACUCCUACGGGAGGCAGCAGGGGGGAAUAUUGCACAAUGGGCGCAAGCCUGAUGCAGCGACGCCGCGUGAGGGAUGGAGGCCUUCGGGUUGUAAACCUCUUUCGCCAGUGAAGCAGGCCUGUCCCUUGUGUGGGUGGGUUGACGGUAGCUGGAGAAGAAGCGCCGGCUAACUACGUG
rnacentral:rRNA from 1 species